rnacentral:tRNA from 1 species
UCUAGAAGAAUGGGACUUGAACCCACACCUAAGACUCCAAAAUCCUUCGUACUACCACUAUACUAUCCCCUA